rnacentral:rRNA from 1 species
GACGAACGCUGGCGGCGUGGAUUAGGCAUGCAAGUCGAACGGUAUCAUCCUUUCGGGGGUGAGAGAGUGGCGAACUGGUGAGUAACACGUAGGUUAUCUACCCUCAAGACGGGGACAACCCAGGGAAACUUGGGCUAAUACCGGAUGUGAGCAACUUUUAGUUGUUUGAAAGGUGGCGUAAGCUGUCGCUUGGGGAUGAGCCUGCGUCCUAUUAGUUAGUUGGUGAGGUAACGGCUCACCUAGGCAAUGAUAGGUAGGCGGCCUUAACGGGUGGUCGCCCACACUGGGAUUGAGAUACGGCCCAGACUCCUACGGGAGGCAGCAGUCGAGAAUAGUCUACAAUGGUCGGAAGACUGAUAGUGCGACGCCGCGUGAACGAUGAAUCCCUUCGGGGUUAAAGUUCUUUUAUAUGUGAGCAGUGCUUCUAUAUUAACAGUAUGGGGAAGAGAUAUUAGCAUAUGAAUAAGCAACGGCUAACUCCGUGCCAGCAGCCGCGGUAA